CGAUCCCAGAACGCCGGGAUCACGCCCUGAGACGAAGGCAGAUGCUUAACCGCUGUGCCACCCAGGCGCCCCAGACUUGCAUUUUCUUUUUAAAAUUACUUUUCUAGUCAAACAAAUUGAGCUUUUCUACGAAUUUUAAUUGUGUUACCUUGUACCUCUCAGUUGAAAAGACACGAAAACAGGAACCUCACCCAAUGUUAUUUCCUUUUUACUAAAGGCAUACUCCCUUUUGAUUUCUGACUGGUUUUGACUAUUUUACAGUGCCCUCAGAUUAUUUUCCUUUUCCCUCUCCCUCCCCUCUCCCCCACAUGAUUUCUAGUUAUUUAUGGGAUGGUUAUUUUGAUAGAACGAAUUCCUCAGCUACUUGACGUCGAAUCUCAACUUUGUCAGUUUGAAUCUUCCUAUGAAUGGAAUCAUACAGUAUAGACUUCAUUGUAAAAACUUUCUUUCAUCUAACUUAACACUUCUGCUCUUUAUUCAUAUCGUUUUAUGUAUCAGUGGUUUGUUCUCUUCUGCUGAUUAACAUUCAUAAGAUGGUAUGAAUAUAUACAAUCUACUUAUCCAUUCUCCUAUUGAGACAUAUUUGAAGUGUCUUCCAUUUUUGGAUAUUAUGAAUCAAGUGUGGAUACAUAUUUCACUUUGAGACAAGUGCUGGAUUUUCUUACAAGAUUGUCGUACCAUCUUACACAUCCACCAACAACAUCUCCUUGCCAACGUAUGAAUCUAACACCUUUGUUGAAAAAAAAUGAAGAAGACAAUUCAGUGGGACACCUGGGUGGCUCG